CUGCCACUUCACAAGAUAUGGAAUCCUUUACUCCGACCUCAAAAAUGAGCUCACAGUCUGUCCACCUCACUACAUACAGAUGUAGGAUCUUAAUUUGACCUGUAUUGUCACAGCAAAAUAAUACUGCAGCAACAGGAUUUGAACGUUUAGUCCAUAAUGUCGCUUGAUCGGUGGUUAAGCUAUUAGCUGGACAAAAUGAGGCUACAUGAAAAGUGGAAUACUGUUAAUAUACAGGAUCGCCCUGGACGAGGUACUGUUGCCGGACACUCUGGACGAGGUACUGUUGCCGGACACUCUGGACGGGGUACUGUUGCCGGACACUCUGGACGAGGUACUGUUGCCGGACACUCUGGACGAGGUACUGUUGCCGGACACUCUGGACGUGGUACUGUUGCCGGACACUCU
rnacentral:lncRNA from 1 species